CGCCCUUCCUCUAGAGGCCUCGUUUGCCCGACACUUACGACAGGCCCUUGGACGUAAGGCGUGGACGUGGAUGACGUCACCCUCCGGCCUGCGUGUUGGGGAGGAGCGAGUAGCGGGGUGGUCGCUCCCUCGGGAUUUGGGUGCGGCUGGGCUCAGUCUAAGAAAGUUCUGUCUGAAAAUAUAAACAAAGUGGCUGCGAGUGGACAGUGCAUCCUGGUCUCUGGUGAAUCUGCAGAGGACUAGAAUAUCUAAACCCAAGUCCUUGACGAUCCCCGUGCUUUUGGGAAACUCUGAGCCUGAGAUGCUAAUGAGAAACAACAAAGAUACAGCUUAUUCCUAAAGCGCUCAAGGCAGUCUGCUGAAUAGGAGCGUGAAGUAGAAGUCAUCGACAGAGGCUGCUGUAUCACCAUCACCAAGGGCUCCUUACAAGCAUGGUUGGAAUCCUAGCUGCCUUAUGUGGGUCCUUAUGGCUGGAGAACAAGUGCUUUUCCCUGCUGGGCUCUCUCCCAGAACCUAUAUUAGAAGGUGUGGUGUUCCGGAUCAAACCCAGGCAUGCUAGUGAAGGACUCUACCACUGAGUUACACUCCAGCUGUAGUCUAUAAAGACUAUGAUUCAGGAGUUGUCAUGUGAUUGAUUAUAUUACAUACAGUUUAAGUAUUUCAAUAUGGAAUGUUUUGCUUUCCUUUAUACCUACCUAUAAUUCAUAAUUUUAGCUCAGAAUGGGCUUCAGGAAGGUACAUGUUGGUUAUACAAAAAAAAUUCAAAACAUGUAAUGUUAUUUUGUGUAUGCACGUGAGCCAGUAAGUUUUACUGGCAUUACUUAUAGGAUUAUAGGUGACGGUUAUGGACAGGAAUAGAAAUGACUCAAAC
rnacentral:lncRNA from 1 species